AUUGAACGCUGGCGGCAUGCUUUACACAUGCAAGUCGAACGGCAGCGCGGGCUUCGGCCUGGCGGCGAGUGGCGAACGGGUGAGUAAUACAUCGGAACGUGCCCAGCAGUGGGGGAUAGCUCGGCGAAAGCCGGAUUAAUACCGCAUACGACCUGAGGGUGAAAGCGGGGGAUCUUCGGACCUCGCGCUAUUGGAGCGGCCGAUGGCGGAGUAGCUAGUUGGUGGGGUAAAGGCCUACCAAGGCGACGAUCUGUAGCUGGUCUGAGAGGACGACCAGCCACACUGGGACUGAGACACGGCCCAGACUCCUACGGGAGGCAGCAGUGGGGAAUUUUGGACAAUGGGCGAAAGCCUGAUCCAGCAAUGCCGCGUGUGUGAUGAAGGCCUUCGGGUUGUAAAGCACUUUUGGCGGGAACGAAAAGGACUGGGCCAAUACCACGGUUCGAUGACGGUACCCGCAGAAUAAGCACCGGCUAACUACGUG
rnacentral:rRNA from 1 species